rnacentral:rRNA from 1 species
AGCGAACGCUGGCGGCAGGCCUAACACAUGCAAGUCGAACGAUCCUUCGGGAUAGUGGCGGACGGGUGAGUAACACGUGGGAACGUACCCUUUGGUUCGGAAUAACUCAGGGAAACUUGAGCUAAUACCGGAUGUGCCCUUCGGGGGAAAGAUUUAUCGCCAUUGGAGCGGCCCGCGUUGGAUUAGCUAGUUGGUGGGGUAAAGGCCCACCAAGGCUACGAUCCAUAGCUGGUCUGAGAGGAUGAUCAGCCACACUGGGACUGAGACACGGCCCAGACUCCUACGGGAGGCAGCAGUGGGGAAUCUUGCGCAAUGGGCGAAAGCCUGACGCAGCCAUGCCGCGUGAAUGAUGAAGGUCUUAGGAUUGUAAAAUUCUUUCACCGGGGACGAUAAUGACGGUACCCGGAGAAGAAGCCCCGGCUAACUUCGUACCAGCCGCCGCCGUAAAAC